CCUACGGGCGGCAGCAGUGAGGAAUAUUGGUCAAUGGCCGCAGGGCUGAACCAGCCAAGUCGCGUGAGGGAUGACGCUCCUAUGGAUUGUAAACCUCUUUUGUCAGGGAGCAAAGGGCGCCACGUGUGGCGCUUUGCGAGUACCUGAAGAAAAAGCAUCGGCUAACUCCGUGCCAGCAGCCGCGGUAAUACGGAGGAUGCGAGCGUUAUCCGGAUUUAUUGGGUUUAAAGGGUGCGCAGGCGGAAUGUCAAGUCAGCGGUAAAAUUUCGGGGCUCAACCCCGUCGUGCCGUUGAAACUGGCGUUCUUGAGUGAGCGAGAAGUAUGCGGAAUGCGUGGUGUAGCGGUGAAAUGCAUAGAUAUCACGCAGAACUCCGAUUGCGAAGGCAGCAUACCGGCGCUCAACUGACGCUCAUGCACGAAAGCGUGGGUAUCGAACAGGAUUAGAUACCCCAGUAGUC
rnacentral:rRNA from 1 species